UAUCCAACAGUUAACUGAAUAUUUAGUCAAUCAAACAAUUAACAUUUAACAAUUUUUCAAAAUAUGACUUUUUUAAUAUUCAAAUUUCCCCCCAUAACCAGAUUGAGCGCCAUAAUUGCGAGGCUUCUGGAAAGGGUAACAAUCAGCCAUUGUUGCCUUAACCUUAAGGACAAUUUUUUAAUGCAUAAUUGUCUCAUUUUAAUUGUUUUUUCUUGAAUUCAGCUCUUGAUUGAUAAUUUAUUUAAUUAUCUAGUAACUUAUAUCUUUUACUUUAACCAUUUGUGAUACUAUUUGGAUUUAUUUUUAGUGUUAAUUGGUUACAAUCGUGAAUGAAAUCGGGUAUAUUGCAUAAGCUAUACCCUUUUGACUCAAUGUGUUACUGUCUAAACGGAAUGAAGCUAACGUAAUUUGACUUUCAUGGAUCAGUAAAUUGUUAUUAUUGACUGUUGAUAUUCAAAUUAGUUUCAUAUUCAAGUUUUUUAACAAAAAUUAAGAAUUGAAAGCAAAAAUCAUUUUCUUCAAAUGAUUUCAAGUAGCUUUUUCACCUUUUUUUACUUCAACCAUCAUUAUAAUCAACUGCAAAAUUCCUAACCUCACCUUUAAAAUGAAGUAAUCAAGUAGAGAUAAAACCUUUUUUUCUCUUAUUGUGAUUAUUGUGAUUAUUAUUACUAUCGUUAUUAUGAUCAUUUCACUCUCUUGACCUGAUUGAAAUCAAAUUUCACUCUGAAUUAUAUGUAUCAAGUGAACAUCAUUUUUAUUACAGAUAAAUACAAUAAAAAAGCUAAGCAGUUCUCAAUGACCCUAACGAUAUUUUACUCCUACCCGGCCUCUUGUCGAAUGGACUAAGAACCAAGAUCCUGGUUUCUCUCUUGGUUAUCCACUUAUUCACGGAAUCAGUCAGCAAAUAUGUAAUAUCAAGGAAUGAAAUUCCCAUCCAAAUACCAAAACAACUGGCAAUGUAACAAAGAUAUUCAAUCUCACCCAUUCGAGCUAAAUACUUAUAAGUAAUCUCAACCCCAAAAGGCCUUCUGACAAAUAGUUUGGUUAAAUUGGAUGGUGUUCGCUUCUCUAUUGCAGCUAUCAACGUGGUCGAGUACCAAUAGUUAGUGCACUGGUUUUUACACUCAUCACUACACCUAUUGUCACCCAUCACAGCAGUACAAUUUUUACCUCUUAAAGAAAAGCUUCUGUUACAAUUUACAUCAGCUGGUACAUCCCAGGGCCAGAUCUCCGAGCAAAGAGAUUCUGCUCGAGCCUUGCGACAGUCAAAAAUACAACCAGUCCUUCCAUAUUCUGCACCAGUAUAAUCAUAGCAAUCAGUUCGAUAAGGUGAUGGCAACAAUUCUGUAAUUAUUUUGGAAGUGGUGAGAAUCAUGUUUUCCGUUUGCUCAGUAUAAAAAUUGAAAGAAUCAGCUUCAGCAACAUGAAGUAUCUCCAUUGGAUUGUGGAUGAACGCGACAACUGUAGUUUUAUUUGUAUUGGAAACCAGAAUGUCCAAAUAAGAUGCAGAUUCUGUGUAAAUUUCUAUUUUGUAGAAAUCUUUAUCAUCAGCCUUGACCACCUGAUAGGGCGAAGGUAGUGUCGGUGAAAAGAAGAAGGUUGAACAAUGAAAAAAAUCAUCUUGUGCCGGGUUAAAAUGUAUGGUGUUUUUUAUCUUUGCGAAAUGUUCACAAUUUUUUGGAUCAGAUUUGUACUCUUCUAGAGGUGUCAACUCGGGAAAUGGUGCUUUACAAAAUAUCUUUACUGGUGUCGUUGGAAGUUUGGCCAGCACAUUGAUUGGUACAUAUCGAAGGGCAGAAAAACUCGCGUUCUCUUUGUUUUUCCAGUCGAUUAGUUCCUCUGAUUGUGGAUAAUGUAAUUUCAAAAUAGUUUCAUUGUAAAUAAGCUGGAUGCACAUUGUUAAACCUGGCAUCGUGAUAUUUCGAGGAGAUUCAAUAAUCAUGUCAACCUGCGUUUGAUAUUCAAAAUAGAUGUUCGAGAUUUGUUGAACCUGCCAGGCUAAACCACAUGAAGAUAAAACCCAGCAGAAAAAUCGUAUCAUGGUGGUGGACUUAUGAUAUCUUCUUCUGAUUGCCAUGAUGGUUUCCAAUGAUGCUUUUAAACCGAUCCUUGGUUUUCAAACAGAAUGAAUUUGUUGCCUUGAUUGUUAAAUUGGAACAACUUGAUUACAUAUUAUUUCCACUUUCAGGAGUUUCACUCUGAUUAACACUUAAAUCACUGGUUAACCUGACAGAAUUCAUUUGAUUUCACUUUUCCAACCUGACCUGGUCCUGAGUUUUUAAAUUGUUUUCUCACACCUUGUUGUUGUUUGCUAAUUGAUGGCAAAACUUAAAUAUCACCAAGAAGUCAAUUGAAGGUUAAUUUAUCUAAUUCAUCUCAAAGACUCACAAAAAUAUGAUUAUUUCAUUGUUGAACCUUUUCUGAGUCUAACAUUUUACAAAACCAAUUCAUUAUUUUAAGGCAACAAUCGAUUGAUUUUUUUGCUAUUCUUUGACACCUCUUUUAUUACCCUGCUUAUUAAGACUAUUAAUUGAAAAAUACAUUAUUUAUAUUUUUGUCUGAAAAAAGAGUGAAAAGUAGGAGCAAAAUGGAAUACAAAAUUGAUCGUUUCAACUGUCUUGAUGUUAGUCAACUUAUUGAUUGAAAUAUCUCUGUGAUUUUCUUACUCUGAUGUGAGAAGAUCAAUUAAAUGUACAAUUGAUUGAUUGUUGGAGCUAAAUUUUCUUAACAGAUUUUUCAUUUGUAAUCAUUAAUCUUUUGUGAAAACAGUUCUUUUACCCUAAAAAUAUCAGAAAUAGUCAACGAAAGAACCGUUAAUUUCAUUUAAUGUUUAAAUUGUUUUCACUUUUGGGUCAUUCCAUUUUCCCUAGUAACUUAUUUUCCUCCAAAUUUGUCUUCAAAAUUAUAAUUGCUUCAACGUCAUUGAUUGCAGCUAUUAAAUACUAUUUGUUAUA